CCUACGGGUGGCAGCAGUGGGGAAUAUUGGACAAUGGGGGGAACCCUGAUCCAGCGACGCCGCGUGAGUGAAGAAGUAUUUCGGUAUGUAAAGCUCUAUCAGCAGGGAAGAAAGAAAUGACGGUACCUGACUAAGAAGCCCCGGCUAACUACGUGCCAGCAGCCGCGGGAAUACGUAGGGGGCAAGCGUUAUCCGGAUUUACUGGGUGUAAAGGGAGCGUAGACGGCGAUGCAAGUCUGAAGUGAAAGGCGGGGGCCCAACCCCCGGACUGCUUUGGAAACUGUAUGGCUGGAGUGCAGGAGAGGUAAGUGGAAUUCCUAGUGUAGCGGUGAAAUGCGUAGAUAUUAGGAGGAACACCGGUGGCGAAGGCGGCCUGCUGGACUGCGACUGACGUUGAGGCCCGAAAGCGUGGGGAGCAAACAGGAUUAGAUACCCCUGUAGUC
rnacentral:rRNA from 1 species